rnacentral:rRNA from 1 species
AGAACCCCGGGAGGGGAGUGAAAUAGAACCUGAAACCGUAUGUCUACAAGCAGUCGAAGCACCUUAAGAGUGCGACGGCGUGCCUAUUGAAGAAUGAACCGGCGAGUUACAUUAUGUUGCGAGGUUAAGUGGGAGACACGGAGCCGAAGCGAAAGCGAGUCUUAAUAGGGCGACUAGUAACAUGGUGUAGACCCGAAACCGCAGUGAUCUAUCCAUGGUCAGGUUGAAGCGCAGGUAAAAAUGCGUGGAGGACCGAACCCGUGAGUGUUGAAAAACUUUGGGAUGAACCGUGGAUAGGGGUGAAAUGCCAAUCGAACGCGGAGAUAGCUGGUACUCCCCGAAAUAGCUUUAGGGCUAGCCUCAGGGAAGAUUAUAGACGGUAGAGCACUGAUCUGGCAAGGGGGCGUAAAGCCUACCGACCCUAGUCAAACUUCGAAUGGCUAUAAUUAAGACCCUGGGAGUCAGACUGCGAGUGAUAAGACCCGUAGUCAAGAGGGAAACAGCCCAGACCGCCGACUAAGGUCCCCAAUGCUGUACUAAGUGGAAAAGGAUGUAAGACUUCAUAAACAACCAGGAUGUUGGCUUAGAAGCAGCCAUCAUUAAAAGAGUGCGUAAUAGCUCACUGGUCGAGAGGCCUUGCGCCGAAGAUGUCCGGGGCUCAAGUACAGAACCGAAGUCGCGGCAGGAUUAUAUAAUUCUGGGUAGGGGAGCGUUGUAUAUCCGACUGAAGGUGUACCGGAAGGAGCGCUGGAGGAUAUACAAGAGAGAAUGCCGGUAUGAGUAGCGAAAAGAACAGUGAGAAUCUGUUCCACCGAAAGCCUAAGGUUUCCUGAGCAACGCUCGUCGACUCAGGGUAAGUCGGGACCUAAGCCGAGGCAAAAAGCAUAGGCGAUGGACAACAGGUUAAUAUUCCUGUACCGCUUCAAAUCGUUUGAGCAAUGGAGUGACACAGAAGGUAGCUUGAGCACGCGAAUGGAUGUGCGUGUCGAAGGUGGUAGGUUGCAGUAUAGGCAAAUCCGUACUGUAUAAGACCGAGAACUGAUAGAUAGACGAUACUUCGGUAAAGUCAAAUUCAAGUGAGCCAUGCUGUCGAGAAAAGCUUCUAGUGAGAGAUGAGGCGCCCGUACCGAAACCGACACAGGUAGGCGGGGAGAGAAUCCUAAGGUGCGCGGGACAACCCUCGUUAAGGAACUCGGCAAAUUGUAUCCGUAACUUAGGGAUAAGGAUAGCCGGAGGAUGUGAAGGGAUUUACUUCUGGAGCGUCAGCCGGUGGCACAAGAGAGGCCCAAGCGACUGUUUAGCACAAACACAGGUGCCUGCAAAAGAGAAAUCUGACGUAUAGGUGCUGACACCUGCCCGGUGCUGGAAGGUUAAGAGGAGGGCUUAGAGGCAACUCGAAGGCUUGAAUUGAAGCCCCAGUAAACGGCGGCCGUAACUAUAACGGUCCUAAGGUAGCGAAAUUCCUUGUCGGGUAAGUUCCGACCCGCACGAAAGGUGUAACGACUUGGGCACUGUCUCAACGAGGGACCCGGUGAAAUUGAAGUACCUGUGAAGAUGCAGGUUACCCGCGACUGGACAGAAAGACCCCAUGGAGCUUUACUGCAACCUGACAUUGAUGUUCGGUAAAUAACGUACAGGAUAGGUGGGAGACGGAGAAGUAUUGGCGUUAGCUGAUAUGGAGUCAACCUUGGGAUACCACCCUUUAUUUAUUGGACCUCUAACUGAAGAAGUAACGACUCUCAGGACAGUAUCAGGCGGGCAGUUUGACUGGGGCGGUCGCCUCCCAAAAUGUAACGGAGGCGCCCAAAGGUUCCCUCAGCGCGAACGGAAACCGCGCAAAGAGUGUAAAGGCAGAAGGGAGCUUGACUGCGAGUCAGACACGACGAGCAGGUACGAAAGUAGGGCUUAGUGAUCCG